GGCCCUGAGGGGCUCAGGGAGCGGGGAGGGAGCAGCCCUCAGGGCGGACAAAGGGAGACCUAAAAGUGACGGGGGCAGCCCUCAGACAGGACAGAAGGAGCCCUCAGAGCGGGACAGGAGCAGCCCCCAGACAGGACAGAAGGAGCAGCCCUCAGGGCGUACAAGGGGAGCCCUAAAAGUGGACGGGAGCAGCCCUCAGAGCGGAUAGGAGGAGCCGUCAGACAGGGCAGGAGGAGCCCUCAAGAGCGGGACAGGAGCAGCCCUCAGAACGGGGAAGGAGGUGCCGUCAGACAGGGCAGGAGGAGCCCUCAGAGCAGGACAGGAGCAGCGAUCCGCCGUCCUAAACCCGCGUUCCCGUGAGCUGCUGUCCUGGUCUGACCCCAUGCUCACAGGCCCCUGCCUAAAGAGACAGUGAGAUCCAGUACCUACUGUGUCUUCAGCUUUUGAACAAAAAUUCUGGAAUGUUCACUUACAUGUGAACCAAAGCCAGGACUGCAUCCUUAGAAUGGUGAAGGUGAGAUCCAGGCAGGAGAACUGCAGGAAUGGAGCACAUGGACAAGCAAGCUGGCCCAGGUACAGUGCAAAGUAGCACAGAAGUGCAACUUGAGUUGAAGAGAAUAGGUCACAACUAGCAGACAUGUUGCUGUAAAAUAGUCCAAACUGAAUUUACUAAUCCAUGAAGCAACAAUCACUGGAAUUUGCUGGUUACCCUCUUAAAAGCAUCAGGAACACCAAGGAAUCAGAGAAUCCUCUCCUGUGCUGAGACACAUUCCACUAUAUCCUACAUAAUCCUAUUUUCAAGAGGCUCUUGAUGUUGAAAAUUCCUUUGGCAGCCCCAGUGCUCCCCACAAUUCACUGUAAGAAGAGCUGAGUAAGAGCAACUAAGUUUCUGUUCAAUUCUGUCUUACCUUUUACAUUAAAAAGUCACACGCAGGCAUCCUUCGUAGCAUUAAUGAAUUUGGUGAUUAACAUGCAGUGCUGUAUCAGUUCCUGAUACUGACCAAAUUCUAUUUUUUUCCCAUCUGUUCUUUAAUCUGUGAAAUUUGCAGGUACUCUUUCUUCCUUCAGCACUUCCACCUGUUACAUCCAUUAGCCCAGGUUUGGAGGGUCCUUACAUGCUGGAGUUACACAGAAGCUGUUCAGUUUUGGAAGCAAGACCUUGUCCCAAACAGCUUUUCCCUCAAAAAAAGUACCACUAUGGUAUCUUUUGAUCUUAUUUUCACCAUGUUCACUAGGUAUAAAAAAUUCAUUUAAAAAAUCCCCAACGUUACUAUGAAACAAAAAGCAGUUUCUAAGCAAGUGCUAUUUUUAGAAAAGCAGUAAAGCUGGCCUCAGUAUUUUAAGAAACCAGAUAUAAGACACUUAAAAUUGCUUUUCCUGACAGCUCUGACCUUUCUUUCAUUUUCAGCCCUUGACACAAGUACUAAAACUGAACAGUGGAUGCAAAUAAAUUAAUUUCUCAGGUAAUUUUGCAAAAUACACCUCAGUCUCACUGCUGUAAGGCUGUCCCUUGAACAGAUGAUACAAUCACUCAUCACUUCCAACACUACUUUGAGGCUGAUACACCAACUCACAUAAAUCUGCACAGGCAUUGAGAGUGAAAAGAGAUACAGUUGUACUUCAGGUGAUUCAUCAGCUUGUUCAUAUAUUGCAAAAUUUAUCCUUUUUAUUUAACAAGGGACAAUAUGGUGUCAGAAAUUAACGUUCCAGCUAUUUUGUCCGAACAAUUACUUCAUUCUGGUUUUUUAACACGUGUCUAUUUUUCUGGAGUACAUUCCAGCCAAGAGCCACCUGAUGUUUCCCUCUUUGGGAUGUGAAAUAGAAAACACUGGUGUACCUUCAUUGUGGGAUUUCUCCGAGCUGCCUUGUAACCAUCCCCUCUACCCCUUAAGUUUCACAGGCCUCAUUCCAUUUCACUGGCAGCACAUGGAGGAGCAGGAUGCACCUGCAAUCCUGGAGCACAUGAUACUUCCUUGAGCUGAAGGUUCCAAGCUGGCACGGUUCCCAGAGAACACUUCCCGUAACAACUGGCUGUUGUUUUCCAGCUCAGUUUACGAACAGCCAGAGAUUCCCAACACAUCCAGAAAUGCUACUCUGGAGUAACCUGAAACCAUUUGUACACUGGCAUGGUGGGGAGGGGGAAAUUGUCUGCAUAUUCUAGAAAUUAACAAAGAAACUGAAGUGAAAAAUACUCAAAAUGUAUGAAUAAACCCUUUCAGGAAAUGAAAUUCACAAGUUUAUACUUGUUUGGAAGCAUUUAACCACAAGCAGCUGGUAAUUAGUCCAUUACAGGAAUUUUUUAUCACAACCAACCAUUCAAUGAAUUCGUAUCACACAGUAAUUCUAGCUAUCAUGCUGAUCCUUUGACUCAAAAUGGUUUUGUAAAAGUUAAGGUAUAUGCCAGUAUUUUUAAGCAGAAUAGCAGAUACCAAUUUCCAAGACAGAGUUACCUGUAAAAAACAUUCUGAGCUGUAUAAACCAGUAAAAGCAGAUGCUCCUUCAACAGUUUAAGUCUGCUCUCAGACAGCCUUUUGUAAUUUCCUUGAUUAUUAAGAAAAAUGCCCUUUUUUGGGGAAAGGACUCAAACUACUUGAGAAGUUUAUUUGGAAGUUAAAUGUCUGUCAAAUAUUAGGCAUUUGUAAUGUUACUUCUGGUACAAGCUAUGCUUUAGAAGUAAAAGUUGUAGCUGAAGUUUCAGGAGAAAUGUCAGUUUGCCACGAUUAUAUAAUAUCUGACCAGACAACUUCUGAUUUGUUUGGUGCUUUAAAUACAGCCACUAGGUUAUGCUGACAGCCAUACAAAGUGAAUUUGCACUUUAACCAACAGCAGUAAUAUCAAGAUUGUGAACAGCUACAAAAUGCAGCAUUUGCAUUUUCAGUGCCAUACCAAGUUGAAUUCAGAACCCGCUAAAGACAAAGCAGCAGCUGGUUAAAAAAAGAAAACAUAAGUCAAAUUAUAAAGCUACAUAGUUUAGUACAUUAAAACAAAACCAAGGACAAUGGUAUUUGUAUAAGAUUCCAAAAAUAUACAGAUGGCAGGGGGGAAUAAUCACUGUACACAACUCUGAGGUGGUUAAAGUGACCAGAGAGACUGAACAGUGCAAGACAUGCUUUUCCAGUUACAAGCUCAAAACAGAAGUGCAAAAGAAAUUAAAGCUCUGUCUGAAGUGAUUUACCUUUUAGGAUAAGGAAAGCUUAGAAUAUUGUCAUCAGUGUUACAGAGAAAUUUCCACCCCGACCCCAACACAGACACACAACAUAGUUUAAGUUUUACCAUAAUACAGCAUUUCACUCCAAUGACGUCCCCAGCGCUUGGUGGCUCCAGGGACAGUUUGUAGGUGUUGGGUGUUGGCCCAUGACCCAAGUGAUGCACAGGCAGCCUCUCCGUUCUCCAGCUUUGGCUAACAAUAGAUCCCUGCCUUCCAGGCAGGGCGAGGGGCAGCCACACAGCCCGGGCAGCCACUGCCUCCCCAGCCCGCCUCGCUGCGAGGAAGCCGCUGUGCUGAAAGCAGAGACUGACUUAUGGCUGAGGAACAAAGGAAUUGCUUGACAGGUCUCUGUGCUCUCUCCCAGAGUUUGGAACAGUUUCAGGCAAGUGCUUUUGGCAGGCUGACUAAGCUGUACAUGCAUCUAUCCAUGCAAAUGUAGAAUAUGGCUCCCAAGACCUAGAACCAGGGUGUGUGCAUGUGAAGACUGGAUAGAAGGCCCUUCUGUGGAAGUUUACAAAAAUAUAUAGCCAAUACUGUAGCUUAAGAAGUCAGUUUUACUCGUUACAGAGAACCCCAAAAAGUAUUAACUACUUUUCAGACAUUCCAGACAAGGUCACUUGUAACAAAAAAGGUCAAGUUCUCAAAAACAAGGUUUUAAAAGCGGAUCUUUCCUUCAAGUGAACAGGACAUCUGUUUUUACUCUUAACCAUUUAGUCAGUUAAGACAAUUUAUUUAAGAUUUCAUGUGAACAUAUGCAUAAACACAAAUAAGUUUACUUUAUAACACAUCUGCACGGAAAAAAAAAAAAAAGGUUAACC